rnacentral:lncRNA from 1 species
AGAAAACCUUUCUAAACCAAAAAACUAGCUUCUACAGCAGAAACUACUUGUCCUGAGAGCACUAAAAUUUCCCCGUCUUCUCUCCUUACCUGCUCAGAGACACUGAGACCAGAGACUGAGGGGUUAGGAGGAGGCAGGAGCCAGGGUGAAUAGUGUUAGGGACAGCCCCUUUUGAGGUGGCAGCAUCAGCUGCCUUCCUGCUUCAAGGGAGGGGAGGACCUUUGCAGGGCCCUCCAGCUGUGGAGCCUGUGGUCUGCAGUGCCCAGUGGUGGAUUGCCAGGGCGUGGGACAGUCAGCUCAGAAUGGGGAGGGACCAGAGAAGGAGGGGGCCGUCUCCCUACCCUACAUAAUUUGAUCCCAGGAGGACUGGGACAAGUGUCCCCCCUCAGGAGGGCUCUUUAGAUGGAGACUAGGCCAGCAGUGGCUGGCUGAGCUUUCCAGUCUUAGCCUGGCCUCUCUAGUUAAUAAGACAAUUGGAGAGGUGGUGACAGGGCUAACCGUGUGUGUGUGUGUGUGUGUGUGUGUGUGUGUGUGUGUGUGACAGGAACUCCCAGACUUGUUGGGCCAUUCUAGGGGAGAAGUAAAUGGCAGACCCCAGAUGGAGCCAGUGGAUCUCAGGGGCACAUUCAAGUUUGCUGUGUGGG